AACACUCCCGGAUUCGGCCAUAAU
rnacentral:siRNA from 1 species